rnacentral:rRNA from 1 species
CGGACGGGUGAGUAACACGUGGAUAACCUACCUAUAAGACUGGGAUAACUUCGGGAAACCGGAGCUAAUACCGGAUAACAUAUUGAACCGCAUGGUUCAAUAGUGAAAGACGGUUUUGCUGUCACUUAUAGAUGGAUCCGCGCUGCAUUAGCUAGUUGGUAAGGUAACGGCUUACCAAGGCAACGAUGCGUAGCCGACCUGAGAGGGUGAUCGGCCACACUGGAACUGAGACACGGUCCAGACUCCUACGGGAGGCAGCAGGG